GGAGCAGAAGCAGCACAGUUCCCUGCCUUCAAUCCAGAGCAGCUUUAAUAUUGCAGCAAUGUGGAUGUCUGCAUAAAAGCAGACUUGUUUUUUUUUCUCUCCACUUCUGCCUCCUGGAAAGAAUAUUCUCUUAAUCUUUUGGAAUUAAACCAGCCAAAUAGAGUGUAACAUGUUUCUUAAUCAUUUGGGCCACCUUCUCCUUUCUGAAUGGAUGUUGGUUUCAGUGGGAAUGUUUUCUGUGGUUGUGGAUCAUUGAGAAGAUGGUGCUGACUUGCUCUGGUAAGCUGAAGAAACAACCAAGCACAUGGCAUGAAGUGAAAUAAGGACAAAUGCAAGAGACACCCUGGAGACAGGCAACUGAGGACAAAGAAAAUCUGUGGGGAAAGGGUGGUGAGCCAGGUGCCCACCUGUCAGCAUUAUUGCUGAGGCACAUCUCAGCCAGAUCUACCCUUCUCUCUUCGAUGCCCUGUUCUGGGACUGCAGAGGCUGACUCAUGGAUUUCACUGAUGAGCUGUCUUGCUAUUCAGGUUCCAGGUGGAUUUGGCUGAUGGAAGGAGAGGGAAUCAAGGUAGUUAUUCUUCCAGUUCUCUCUUUACCUAUUCGUUGUGGUUGGCUACAUGCCUCUACUAAAUGCCACAGCUCCUGAUGGAAGGCCUUUUCUUUCGAUUUUGGGUACUGGUAACUACUCCCUCCUCUUUCCCUUGGGCUUAGAGUUGUAAUAGGCUCUGAUAACAAUAGUUUUAGGCUGUUACAAUAGCUCUUGUUGGUUUUCAAACGUCAUUCCAGCAUUUAUAAACAGUUUGAUUGAGCUUCAGUUUCCUCAUCUGUAAAAUUAGGAUACCAUGUGAGUCGUGAUCACAGCACAUAUAAACUCCUAGCACAGUGUCUGGUCAUGCAAUAAGGGCUCAGUAAGUACUAUUUGCUUUCUGCUUUUCUUAAGAGCUUCUAAUUUCUUAAGAGGAACAAGUCGAAUGGCUGCAGAAAAGUUUAAACCAAAUUAAGUCAGUGAUUUCGGGAUUAUUAGGAAAGGACACAUUUGGGAAAUAAUUUGUAGGCAUUGUAAGCAACACUUGCAGAGUCUGGGUGUACGGGAUAAGAGAGAGGGAGGAAUCAGGCACAAAUUUGAUUUUUCUGCAUGUAUUAUUGUGUGGACAGUAGGGAGAGAAAAUGCAGGGGAGUUUCUGUAUUAGAGAAUAAGAUGAGUUUCGUCAGAACAAGUAGAAUUUGAAAUGCCUGUGAGAUGACCAGGUGACAAUGUUAGGUAGGUGGAUGGCUGGGUGGCACUGGAGAAGGGUCUGGGCAGGCGAGGAACAUUUGAGAAUCAUCAUUAUACUAAGAAAUAGAUAAGAAAGUAAAAGAGGCUGCUGUGUGUCAUGGGUUUGGUGGGAAGACAGAUGCUCUAAUGCCAAAAGGACUAGACUGCAAGUCAAGUGAUUUUACUUCUUUUUUUAAAUUUCAAUUUUUAAUUUUAAUUUUUUAUAGAGAGAAGGUCUCAUUCUGUCAUCUAGGCUGGAGUGCAGUGGCACCAUCAGAGCUCACUGCAGCCUCCAACUCCUUGGCUCAAGUGAUCCUCCCACCACAGCCUCCCAAGUAGCUUGGACUACAGGUGCAUGCCACUGCAUCCAGCUAAUUUCAGUACUUUUUUUUGUAGGGACGGACUCUUAUUAUGUUGCCCAGGCUGGUCUUGAACUCCUGGCUUCAGGCCAUGCUCCCGCAUCGACUUCCCAAUGUACAUAAGAUUACAGGCAGGAGCCAUUGUGCCCAGCUGGUUUUAUUUCUUGAUCUGGUUUGCCAGUCACUGGCUGUUUAACCUUGGAGACGUUACUUAGUUGUACUGACAGUCUGUUUUCUCCAGCAAAUGUAAAAUGAGAAGGUUGGACUAUGUGAUAUCUAUGAUGCUAUAGAACUUCCGAUCUAAUUGGGAGGCAAAUCAUAGAAUAACUAGAGAUUACUGAUUGUGUUAUCAAGCUCUUGCUGGAGGAAAGCCCCCAGAGACCCAUGAUCUUCCUAAUCAAUGGCUCUUGUUUAGUGAGAAGGCAGUACACAAAAUCUAAGACUCAGUUUCAUGGAAUAAUGAUAGCAACAACAACAAUGGCAAUAUUUAUUGUGACUGCUUAUUGUGUACCAGUUACUGUUCAUGGGUUUUACAUCUAUUAAUAUUUAAUCUUUGCAAUAACCUUAUGAAGUAGAGACUAUUAGGAACCUCCAUUUUACAAAAAACGAGAGCAUAAAAAGGUCAAAUAUCCCACUCAAAGUCAUGAAGGAAGUAAGGAUUGAAACCCAAGCCACUUGGUUCCUGAGCCCAAGUAUUUAAUCACAGACUAUCUGCUUGUAGGGAAAACCGUGAGCUCUGGGGAAAUAAGAGGCAGAGGCAUACACAUUGGAACUAGUAAUGUUUUUAGAUUGACCAUGGUUUUAAGAGAGGCAUGGUCAGGAAGCAGACUCAGUUAUGAUUAUACUUACCAGUUGUAGGAAUCUUAGUUGCUGGCUAGUAUUUUCACUAUACUUGCAGGUAGUAUAAUAGAUACACUUUUAAUUGGUGCAUUUUGGUAAGAACUAAAAAAAAUUACAUAUUAACACGUGUAUAAUACAUACUGACAUAUGUUAAUAUAUGCAGAUUUAACCUUUUGUGCACUUUCACUCCUCCUCCUCCUACCCCAAGAAUUACUUUUUCUGAAUUGUGCUUGUCUGUGUUACCAUCAUCUACAAUGAAGGUAGGUGAAAGACAGACGACUCUUAUCCUUGUGAGUCUUGUAAGGGUAUUAUUGAGGUCAUUGCUUGCUUACAUUCUAUAAAGUCUCUCUUAUAAGGACUCCGCAGGUGAAAUUCCCUUGUGGUCUUGUUAAUAUUAAUUGUGCUUCUUAUACCAACCACUUUAGAUAUUUUUAUUAGAGACCCUUUAGACAAACAAAUGGCCAAGUUAUUCCUUUCACAGUGGUCUCUUGAAAACAUAAGAGGCAAAUCUGUGGCCAAUGGUAGUGUCUGUAUUUAUGCAGUUUUAACUUUAUUCCUGGUCCCAGUUUGUGACCCUUUGUUUGCUUUUCUUUCUUUUUCCACCUGCUUUUCUUUUGUAGCAUUUUCUUGUAGUUUAUGGAACCAUAACCGAGGCAGACUUUAAAUCACUAUCUGUGUGCAUGUAACCCCACCCGCAUAUUCAUGAAAUGCAUAUCCACAGUGCAUUUUGGACUCUCUCUCCAGAAGGCUGGCUUGCCAACACAGGGACUAUUACGGUUCUAUAACUAUGCAACAUACUUUCUGAUAACAAGGAGGUCAUCAAAAAGAAACUGAUAAUUAGGAGGAUUAUCACAGCCAUCAAUUUACAAUCCCUUUGAUGAGUGUUGGUUGCACUUAAUGACUCACUGAAGAUCAAGUCACACUCCCUUUCAGCAGUGAGCUUAAUAAGCAUUAGUGUGAUGAGGGCAAUGAGUAAACAAUCAUCUUUGUGAUGAUUACAAUUUGGUCUAGGCAGGACGGAAAAUAUUCUUGACUGGAC
rnacentral:lncRNA from 1 species